CAGCAGCCGCGGUAAUACGUAGGGUGCGAGCGUUGUCCGGAAUUACUUGGGCGUAAAGAGCUCGUAGGUGGUUUGUCGCGUUGUUUCGUGAAAACUCACAGCUCAACUGUGGGCGUGCGGGCGAUACGGGCAGACUGGAGUACUGCAGGGGAGACUGGAAUUCCUGGUGUAGCGGUGGAAUUCGCAGAUAUCAGGAGGAACACCGGUGGCGAAGGCGGGUCUCUGGGCAGUAACUGACGCUGAGGAGCGAAAGCGUGGGGAGCGAACAGGAUUAGAUACCCUGGUAGUCCACGCCGUAAACGGUGGGUACUAGGUGUGGGUUUCCUUCCUUGGGAUCCGUGCCGUAGCUAACGCAUUAAGUACCCCGCCUGGGGAGUACGGCCGCAAGGCUAAAACUCAAAGAAAUUGACGGGGGCCCGCACAAGCGGCGGAGCAUGUGGAUUAAUUCGAUGCAACGCGAAGAACCUUACCUGGGUUUGACAUGCACAGGACGACGGCAGAGAUGUCGUUUCCCUUGUGGCCUGUGUGCAAGUGGUGCAUGGCUGUCGUCAGCUCGUGUCGUGAGAUGUUGGGUUAAGUCCCGCAACGAGCGCAACCCCUAUCUUAUGUUGCCAGCGCGUCAUGGCGGGGACUCGUAAGAGACUGCCGGGGUCAACUCGGAGGAAGGUGGGGAUGACGUCAAGUCAUCAUGCCCCUUAUGUCCAGGGCUUCACACAUGCUACAAUGGCCGGUACAGAGGGCUGCGAAUCCGUAAGGUGGAGCGAAUCCCUUCAAAGCCGGUCUCAGUUCGGAUCGGGGUCUGCAACUCGACCCCGUGAAGUCGGAGUCGCUAGUAAUCGCAGAUCAGCAACGCUGCGGUGAAUACGUUCCCGGGCCUUGUACACACCGCCCGUCACGUCAUGAAAGUCGGUAACACCCGAAGCCGGUGGCCUAACCCCU
rnacentral:rRNA from 1 species